AUCUUCUUCAAUUGUGUUUUUAAAACGCAUGCGAGUCCUUGGGUUUGAUUGACAUGCCCUGUCAAUCUUACCUUAAAUGUAUGAGCUGGAGAUCAGUCAGGUUGCUAAGGCAUUUAAAACCUGCGUAAACGGUCUCUGCUUUUUAAAUUAAACUAUUAAC
rnacentral:misc_RNA from 1 species